GGGUUGUGAGGUUAAGCGACUAAGCGUACACGGUGGAUGCCCUGGCAGUCAGAGGCGAUGAAGGACGUGCUAAUCUGCGAUAAGCGUCGGUAAGGUGAUAUGAACCGUUAUAACCGGCGAUUUCCGAAUGGGGAAACCCAGUGUGAUUCGUCACACUAUCAUUAACUGAAUCCAUAGGUUAAUGAGGCGAACCGGGGGAACUGAAACAUCUAAGUACCCCGAGGAAAAGAAAUCAACCGAGAUUCCCCCAGUAGCGGCGAGCGAACGGGGAGGAGCCCAGAGCCUGAAUCAGUGUGUGUGUUAGUGGAAGCGUCUGGAAAGGCGCGCGAUACAGGGUGACAGCCCCGUACACAAAAAUGCACAUACUGUGAGCUCGAUGAGUAGGGCGGGACACGUGGUAUCCUGUCUGAAUAUGGGGGGACCAUCCUCCAAGGCUAAAUACUCCUGACUGACCGAUAGUGAACCAGUACCGUGAGGGAAAGGCGAAAAGAACCCCGGCGAGGGGAGUGAAAAAGAACCUGAAACCGUGUACGUACAAGCAGUGGGAGCCUCUUUAUGGGGUGACUGCGUACCUUUUGUAUAAUGGGUCAGCGACUUAUAUUCUGUAGCAAGGUUAACCGAAUAGGGGAGCCGAAGGGAAACCGAGUCUUAACUGGGCGUUAAGUUGCAGGGUAUAGACCCGAAACCCGGUGAUCUAGCCAUGGGCAGGUUGAAGGUUGGGUAACACUAACUGGAGGACCGAACCGACUAAUGUUGAAAAAUUAGCGGAUGACUUGUGGCUGGGGGUGAAAGGCCAAUCAAACCGGGAGAUAGCUGGUUCUCCCCGAAAGCUAUUUAGGUAGCGCCUCGUGAAUUCAUCUCCGGGGGUAGAGCACUGUUUCGGCAAGGGGGUCAUCCCGACUUACCAACCCGAUGCAAACUGCGAAUACCGGAGAAUGUUAUCACGGGAGACACACGGCGGGUGCUAACGUCCGUCGUGAAGAGGGAAACAACCCAGACCGCCAGCUAAGGUCCCAAAGUCAUGGUUAAGUGGGAAACGAUGUGGGAAGGCCCAGACAGCCAGGAUGUUGGCUUAGAAGCAGCCAUCAUUUAAAGAAAGCGUAAUAGCUCACUGGUCGAGUCGGCCUGCGCGGAAGAUGUAACGGGGCUAAACCAUGCACCGAAGCUGCGGCAGCGACACUAUGUGUUGUUGGGUAGGGGAGCGUUCUGUAAGCCUGUGAAGGUGUACUGUGAGG
rnacentral:rRNA from 1 species